CUGGGUUUGACAUGCAGGGAAAUCUCAUAGAGAUAUGAGGUCCGCAAGGGUCCUGCACAGGUGGUGCAUGGCUGUCGUCAGCUCGUGUCGUGAGAUGUUGGGUUAAGUCCCGCAACGAGCGCAACCCUCGUUCUAUGUUGCCAGCGGAUUAUGCCGGGGACUCAUAGGAGACUGCCGGGGUCAACUCGGAGGAAGGUGGGGACGACGUCAAGUCAUCAUGCCCCUUAUGUCCAGGGCUGCACACAUGCUACAAUGGCUGGUACAAAGGGCAGCUAAACCGCAAGGUGGAGCGAAUCCCAAAAAGCCAGUCUCAGUUCGGAUUGGGGUCUGCAACUCGACCCCAUGAAGUCGGAGUCGCUAGUAAUCGCAGAUCAGCAACGCUGCGGUGAAUACGUUCCC
rnacentral:rRNA from 1 species